GACCUCAGGUCGGAAGGUCUUCAGGUCGGUAGGUCCUCAAGACGGAAAGUCAUUAGGACGGAAGGACUUCAGGUCGGGAAGACCUCAAGGCGGAAAGACCUCAAGUCGGAAGGUUUUCAGGUCGGGAAGUCCUCAAGACGGAAAGACCUCAAGUCGGAAGGUUUUCAGGUCGGGAAGUCCUCAAGGCGGAAAGACCUCAAGUCGGAAGGUUUUCAGGUCGGGAAGUCCUCAAGGCGGAAAGACCUCAGGCCAGAUGGUUCGCAAGUCGGGAG